rfam:Triticum aestivum genome assembly, contig: Triticum_aestivum_CS42_TGACv1_scaffold_641982_T_4BL-0.098571_4BS-0.061129
UUUGUACUCCCUCCAUCCCAAAAUUCUUGUCUUAAAUUUGUCUAAAUACGGAUGUAUCUAGUUACAUUUUACUCUUAGAUACAUCUGCAUCUAAAAAAAUGUAAGACAAGAAUUUUGGGACGGAGGGAAUACUAC